rnacentral:snRNA from 1 species
GUACACACUUUGGCAGCACAUAUACUAAAAUUGGAAUCAUACAGAGAAGAUUAGCAUGGGCACUGCACAAGGAUGACAGGCACAUUUGUUAAGAGUUCUAUGUAUGU